CUCAUCCUAAGAGGACUCGCCGCUCUUCCAUGACGCCGCCGCUGCAACGCGGCGUUGUUCCAGCACCAAAUCGCAGGUUUUUCACGGUGCCUAUUUACUUGCCCUUCGUCUGCAUAGUUGAGCGCAAGCUUCUGGCCUUAAUAUAGACUUUUGAAAACAUUAUAUUUCAUGCCUGCACAUUACUAGAAACAUAAUUACACUGCGUAGAUUUAGCGGAUUUAAAUAAUACUAUUGUCUCAGUAAAAAAAUAUUUUUCAACUUCAAAUUAUAUGCUGGCUUCAGAUUGUUUUCUUAAAAACCAAGAGCUCUUUUGGGGUUUGCAGUAGUGUGGUUUACAAGAGGUAGCCACGGUUCUUCAAAAAUUUGAAGUGUUAGCAAAAGGAGUGGAACAGAUCAAACUGAAGCUAUUUUAUUUAAUAUUAUCUACUUCUACUUGAACUUUGAUGGGAAUCUGAUGUAACCAUCCCGCAAUCUGAAAAUACUGUAUGAUGUGCAGAGAAAAUCUCUGUUUACAUGUAACUGCGCUGAACUCUGCUUAUAUUUCUCUAUGCGCCACAAAGUUCAAGCAGUUGUAACUAGUAUACAAACAUACUUUGCUCACAGUAUAAUCAUCUGAUGCAAUGUGAUAGUUCCAGCAAAAUUUCUUCACCUAUAAAUCAAAUUAUGUUACUUCUCUUUGUGUAAAUCUUGGAUUUCUAGAUCUUAUGAAAAUGACUUUUUAUUUCAGCAAGUGUAAUUUGAAUUUGUAAUCUUUUUAAAUAUAGAUGCAUCUUUGCAAAUCCAACAAAGUGGUGGGAAUAUCUACAACAUGAAGUUUCUCAAGCUGAUAGGGCAUUCUUCUGCAUGUUUGUGACAUGAUCAUGGUGCGCAUAUAUUUAAUAGUGAAGGUCUUCGGCUAUCACUAUGAAUGGUUCUGCUGUUGUGUAAGUGAUUUCUUAAGUGUUGUGUUGUAACACAUUAGAGUAAAAGAUUAAUUGUGUAUGAAGAAUAAUAUUGUGGAGUCAGGCAGAAUUUGACCUUAGUUCUGACCAAAUUAAUCUUUAUUUGUUUGCUAGGUUGUGUGUCAAACAUCACUUCGUGUUGUAGUGCAUUUUUUCCUUUCAGAAUCCACAUUAUGCAAUUUGGCUUUAUAAGAAGUUUCACUUUAUUAUUAGUGGAGAACGGGAGAUAAGGAAAGGGAAGGGAAAAACAGUAAUUCUAGCAACUAGCCAUUGUUCCAUGGCAAAACACAGGUGUUUGUUCUAUUAUGUUCAUCGGAAGUCUUUACGGAGGAGUUGGGUCUGGGUGAGUGACAUAGAUUUGCUUGAGAUCACGAAUUCUUUUCUGCUGUUACUUGCAUCUUACUUGAAUUUUUUUUCUUCAAGUUCUUCAUGUUUUCCCAUAUCGUCUGCUCUAUAGAAGCUGCUACCUCAAAUUAAGUAAGUGCAUCCUUCUUUUUUGUCCAAGUUUGUUCUAUUCUAUUACUCAGAAGUCUGUACAAGACUGAGAGAGUGAAGCAUAUUUGCUUGAGAUUUGAAUUAUUUUUUGAUGUCAGGUUUGUAUGCUGUACUGUUUGAUUAAUGAAAACUGAUAAAAGUAGUGGCAAACACUUGAUUGAGUAUGUUACUGGAUUUUACCAGUCAUACACAGUUGUUUCUUGCAAUAUUAUCUGCAUGACAAGAAACACCCAUAUUUGAUUUUGCUCUGUGAUUGGUUCAAAUAUCACUUUUUGGGCUAAAGCUGAUUGGAUACGAGUAGUAGUGUCAACAGUAAUAACUUGAAACAUGAUUUUAUCAUGGCUCUAAAUUUUAUUGCUGAUGAUUUCUUUCAGGAUAUUUGUAGAGGCUAUUUGCACCGUAGUUCAAGGCAGAUGAUAGAGUACAGGCUAGGCAACUCACUUAUAUUGGUACUCGUUUAAAUGGUUAUCUAUUCUGCCGGCAUAGUUACAUGCCAUAUUAAUUUCAGAAGAACAAUUUCUAAUCUAGUGUUGUGCUUGCAUGCAUUGUUAUGUCUAAAAAGAAACGCAGACGCCUCGCCGCUCGAUAAAAAGAAAAAAAGGAAAGGAAAUAACCCACGACCGCGCACCUCAUCUCCCACUAACCUCACAAUCCCAUCUCGAACUCCACCGCGCCUCCACUCCCGCCCCGCCCCAUCUUACCGAUGCGUUCGAGUAGGGCGCCACCGCCGCGCGUGGCCGCGCGGCCAGUUUUCUUCUCUCUCUAUCCGUUCUGGGGGCGCUCGACAUCGCCGUGCCGCCGAUCUGCCGGCUUCUCUGGAACUCCGUUUGUCAGCAUCUUCUCCACCCCUUGGUGAUGAGCGGCUGAGCCAAGGAGCGGAGUCAGGCGCCGCCGCGCGUACAUGCCGCGUUCGUGCGAGAGUGGGGACGGUCUGACAGGGGAUGCAGACUUGGUUGGGGAACAAGAGCACGCGAAGCUAGGAGCAGGGGCCGAUCGAUGGGCAGCGCGAGGACCUCCUACUGGUUCUACAUGUUCCUCUCUCUGCCUAUCCAUUACAAGCAUAGAGGUGAACUCAUGGUUGUAUUGAUAGGUGAUUUAAAGUGCGUGGUUGUGAGGAAAUCAGUAUAAAAUCGUUGUUGUCGGAGUUCCCUUGGAACUGCGCAGAAGAUGGGGUGAUGGAUUCAGUGUCAAGAUUCAAUGAAGAUCCAUCUGUUCGUGGCCUGCUUGUUCACCCACUACUACCACAAGCAAUGUAUUUUACUUUUCUAGAUGCAGCCCUAGAAAGGAAUUAUGUUUGGUUUAGUUCAUAGAAAGAUAUAUCAUAAAAUCCUUUUUGUUUACAUACUAACUGAAUAAUACGAAGUAUUUUAGUUCUCAUGGUAAUAGACAAGCAACUUCAGUAGUAUUUGAUUUGAGUUUUUGUUUUUAAGUAUAUGUUUGCUCAAGAUUCAACUUUCUUUAUGUCCAUGUUUUGCUGGUAUAAUGCAUCAUCAAGCUUUGUUUUAUAUGAUGACAUUGUGUAAAUCAGCAUAUGGAUGAGGAAAGUAUUCUGAGCGCAGAUGCUCGCCGCCGCCACUGCUUCCGACAAUGUGUGAGCCGCCUAAUCGAGCGAGGAUUCGCCGCUCAUCCUAAGAGGACUCGCCGCUCUUCCAUGACGCCGCCGCUGCAACGCGGCGUUGUUCCAGCACCAAAUCGCAGGUUUUUCACGGUGCCUAUUUACUUGCCCUUCGUCUGCAUAGUUGAGCGCAAGCUUCUGGCCUUAAUAUAGACUUUUGAAAACAUUAUAUUUCAUGCCUGCACAUUACUAGAAACAUAAUUACACUGCGUAGAUUUAGCGGAUUUAAAUAAUACUAUUGUCUCAGUAAAAAAAUAUUUUUCAACUUCAAAUUAUAUGCUGGCUUCAGAUUGUUUUCUUAAAAACCAAGAGCUCUUUUGGGGUUUGCAGUAGUGUGGUUUACAAGAGGUAGCCACGGUUCUUCAAAAAUUUGAAGUGUUAGCAAAAGGAGUGGAACAGAUCAAACUGAAGCUAUUUUAUUUGAUAUUAUCUACUUCUACUUGAACUUUGAUGGGAAUCUGAUGUAACCAUCCCGCAAUCUGAAAAUACUGUAUGAUGUGCAGAGAAAAUCUCUGUUUACAUGUAACUGCGCUGAACUCUGCUUAUAUUUCUCUAUGCGCCACAAAGUUCAAGCAGUUGUAACUAGUAUACAAACAUACUUUGCUCACAGUAUAAUCAUCUGAUGCAAUGUGAUAGUUCCAGCAAAAUUUCUUCACCUAUAAAUCAAAUUAUGUUACUUCUCUUUGUGUAAAUCUUGGAUUUCUAGAUCUUAUGAAAAUGACUUUUUAUUUCAGCAAGUGUAAUUUGAAUUUGUAAUCUUUUUAAAUAUAGAUGCAUCUUUGCAAAUCCAACAAAGUGGUGGGAAUAUCUACAACAUGAAGUUUCUCAAGCUGAUAGGGCAUUCUUCUGCAUGUUUGUGACAUGAUCAUGGUGCGCAUAUAUUUAAUAGUGAAGGUCUUCGGCUAUCACUAUGAAUGGUUCUGCUGUUGUGUAAGUGAUUUCUUAAGUGUUGUGUUGUAACACAUUAGAGUAAAAGAUUAAUUGUGUAUGAAGAAUAAUAUUGUGGAGUCAGGCAGAAUUUGACCUUAGUUCUGACCAAAUUAAUCUUUAUUUGUUUGCUAGGUUGUGUGUCAAACAUCACUUCGUGUUGUAGUGCAUUUUUUCCUUUCAGAAUCCACAUUAUGCAAUUUGGCUUUAUAAGAAGUUUCACUUUAUUAUUAGUGGAGAACGGGAGAUAAGGAAAGGGAAGGGAAAAACAGUAAUUCUAGCAACUAGCCAUUGUUCCAUGGCAAAACACAGGUGUUUGUUCUAUUAUGUUCAUCGGAAGUCUUUACGGAGGAGUUGGGUCUGGGUGAGUGACAUAGAUUUGCUUGAGAUCACGAAUUCUUUUCUGCUGUUACUUGCAUCUUACUUGAAUUUUUUUUCUUCAAGUUCUUCAUGUUUUCCCAUAUCGUCUGCUCUAUAGAAGCUGCUACCUCAAAUUAAGUAAGUGCAUCCUUCUUUUUUGUCCAAGUUUGUUCUAUUCUAUUACUCAGAAGUCUGUACAAGACUGAGAGAGUGAAGCAUAUUUGCUUGAGAUUUGAAUUAUUUUUUGAUGUCAGGUUUGUAUGUUGUACUGUUUGAUUAAUGAAAACUGAUAAAAGUAGUGGCAAACACUUGAUUGAGUAAGCUACUGGAUUUUACCAGUCAUACACACUUGUUUCUUGCAAUAUUAUCUGCAUGACAAGAAACACACAUAUUUGAUUUUGCUCUGUGAUUGGUUCAAAUAUCACUUUUUUGGCUAAAGCUGAUUGGAUACGAGUAGUAGUGUCAACAGUAAUAACUUGAAACAUGAUUUUAUCAUGGCUCUAAAUUUUAUUGCUGAUGAUUUCUUUCAGGAUAUUUGUAGAGGCUAUUUGCACCGUAGUUCAAGGUAGAUGAUAGAGUACAGGCUAGGCAACUCACUUAUAUUGGUACUCGUUUAAAUGGUUAUCUAUUCUGCCGGCAUAGUUACAUGCCAUAUUAAUUUCAGAAGAACAAUUUCUAAUCUAGUGUUGUGCUUGCAUGCAUUGUUAUGUCUAAAAAGAAACGCAGACGCCUCGCCGCUCGAUAAAAAGAAAAAAAAGGAAAGGAAACAGCCCACGACCGCACACCUCAUCUCCCACUAACCUCACAAUCCCAUCUCGAACUCCACCGCGCCUCCACUCCCGCCCCGCCCCAUCUUACCGAUGCGUUCGAGCAGGGCGCCGCCGCCGCGCGUGGCCGCGCGGCCAGUUUUCUUCUCUGUCUAUCCGUUCUGGGGGCGCUCGACAUUGCCGUGCCGCCGAUCUGCCGGCUUCUCCGGAACUCCGUUUGUCAGCAUCUUCUCCACCCCUUGGUGAUGAGCGGCUAAGCCAAGGAGCGGAGUCAGGCGCCGCCGCGCGUACAUGCCGCGUUCGUGCGAGAGUGGGGACGGUCUGACAAGGGAUGCAGACUUGGUUGGGGAACAAGAGCACGCGAAGCUAGGAGCAGGGGCCGAUCGAUGGGCAGCGCGAGGACCUCCUACUGGUUCUACAUGUUCCUCUCUCUGCCUAUCCAUUACAAGCACAGAGGUGAACUCAUGGUUGUAUUGAUAGGUGAUUUAAAGUGCGUGGUUGUGAGGAAAUCAGUAUAAAAUCGUCGUUGUCGGAGUUCCCUUGGAACUGCGCAGAAGAUGGGGUGAUGGAUUCAGUGUCAAGAUUCAAUGAAGAUCCAUCUGUUCGUGGCCUGCUUGUUCACCCACUACUACCACAAGCAAUGUAUUUUACUUUUCUGGAUGCAGCCCUAGAAAGGAAUUAUGUUUGGUUUAGUUCAUAGAAAGAUAUAUCAUAAAAUCCUUUUUGUUUACAUACUAACUGAAUAAUACGAAGUAUUUUAGUUCUCAUGGUAAUAGACAAGCAACUUCAGUAGUAUUUGAUUUGAGUUUUUGUUUUUAAGUAUAUGUUUGCUCAAGAUUCAACUUUCUUUAUGUCCAUGUUUUGCUGGUAUAAUGCAUCAUCAAGCUUUGUUUUAUAUGAUGACAUUGUGUAAAUCAGCAUAUGGAUGAGGAAAGUAUUCUGAGCGCAGAUGCUCACCGCCGCCACUGCUUCCGACAAUGUGUGAGCCGCCUAAUCGAGCGAGGAUUCUCCGCUCAUCCUAAGAGGACUCGCCGCUCUUCCAUGACGUCGCCGCUGCAACGCGGCGUUGUUCCAGCACCAAAUCGCAGGUUUUUGCCGGUGCCUAUUUACUUGCCCUUCAUCUGCAUAGUUGAGCGCAAGCUUCUGGCCUUAAUAUAGCCUUUUGAAAACAUUAUAUUUCAUGCCUGCACAUUACUAGAAACAUAAUUACACUGCGUAGAUUUAGCGGAUUUAAAUAAUACUAUUGUCUCAGUAAAAAAAUAUUUUUCAACUUCAAAUUAUAUGCUGGCUUCAGAUUGUUUUCUUAAAAACCAAGAGCUCUUUUAGGGUUUGCAGUAGUGUGGUUUAAAGAGGUAGCCACGGUUCUUCAAAAAUUUGAAGUGUUAGCAAAAGGAGUGGAACAGAUCAAACUGAAGCUAUUUUAUUUAAUAUUAUCUACUUCUACUUGAACUUUGAUGGGAAUCUGAUGUAACCAUCCCGCAAUCUGAAAAUAAUGUAUGAUGUGCAGAGAAAAUCUCUGUUUACAUGUAACCGCGCUGAACUCUGCUUAUAUUUCUCUAUGCGCCGCAAAGUUCAAGCAGUUGUAACUAGUAUACAAACAUACUUUGCUCACAGUAUAAUCAUCUGAUGCAAUGUGAUAGUUCCAGCAAAAUUUCUUCACCUAUAAAUCAAAUUAUGUUACUUCUCUUUGUGUAAAUCUUGGAUUUCUAGAUCUUAUGAAAAUGACUUCUUAUUUCAGCAAGUGUAAUUUGAAUUUGUAAUCUUUUUAAAUAUAGAUGCAUCUUUGCAAAUCCAACAAAGUGGUGGGAAUAUCUACAACAUGAAGUUUCUCAAGCUGAUAGGGCAUUCUUCUGCAUGUUUGUGACAUGAUCAUGGUGCACAUAUAUUUAAUAGUGAAGGUCUUCGACUAUCACUAUGAAUGGUUCUGCUGUUGUGUAAGUGAUUUCUUAAGUGUUGUGUUGUAACACAUUAGAGUAAAAGAUUAAUUGUGUAUGAAGAAUAAUAUUGCGGAGUCAGGCAGAAUUUGACCUUAGUUCUGACCAAAUUAAUCUUUAUUUGUUUGCUAGGUUGUGUGUCAAACAUCACUUCGUGUUGUAGUGCAUUUUUUCCUUUCAGAAUCCACAUUAUGCAAUUUGGCUUUAUAAGAAGUUUCACUUUAUUAUUAGUGGAGAACGGGAGAUAAGGAAAGGGAAGGGAAAAACAGUAAUUCUAGCAACUAGCCAUUGUUCCAUGGCAAAACACAGGUGUUUGUUCUAUUAUGUUCAUCAGAAGUCUUUACGGAGGAGUUGGGUCUGGGUGAGUGACAUAGAUUUGCUUGAGAUCAUGAAUUCUUUUCUGCUGUUACUUGCAUCUUACUUGAAUUUUUUUUCUUCAAGUUCUUCAUGUUUUCCCAUAUCGUCUGCUCUAUAGAAGCUGCUACCUCAAAUUAAGUAAGUGCAUCCUUCUUUUUUGUCCAAGUUUGUUCUAUUCUAUUACUCAGAAGUCUGUACAAGACUGAGAGAGUGAAGCAUAUUUGCUUGAGAUUUGAAUUAUUUUUUGAUGUCAGGUUUGUAUGCUGUACUGUUUGAUUAAUGAAAACUGAUAAAAGUAGUGGCAAACACUUGAUUGAGUAAGCUACUGGAUUUUACCAGUCAUACACAGUUGUUUCUUGCAAUAUUAUCUGCAUGACAAGAAACACCCAUAUUUGAUUUUGCUCUGUGAUUGGUUCAAAUAUCACUUUUUGGGCUAAAGCAGAUUGGAUACGAGUAGUAGUGUCAACAAUAAUAACUUGAAACAUGAUUUUAUCAUGGCUCUAAAUUUUAUUGCUGAUGAUUUCGUUCAGGAUAUUUGUAGAGGCUAUUUGCACCGUAGUUCAAGGCAGAUGAUAGAGUACAGGCUAGGCAACUCACUUAUAUUGGUACUCGUUUAAAUGGUUAUCUAUUCUGCCGGCAUAGUUACAUGCCUUAUUAUUUUCAGAAGAACAAUUUCUAAUCUAGUGUUGUGCUUGCAUGCAUUGUUAUGUCUAAAAAGAAAGCAGACGCCUCGCCGCUCGAUAAAAAGAAAAAAAAGAAAGGAAACAGCCCACGACCGCACACCUCAUCUCCCACUAACCUCACAAUCCCAUCUCGAACUCCACCGCGCCUCCACUCCCGCCCCGCCCCAUCUUACCGAUGCGUUCGAGCAGGGCGCCGCCGCCGCGCGUGGCCGCGCGGCCAGUUUUCUUCUCUGUCUAUCCGUUCUGGGGGCGCUCGACAUCGCUGUGCCGCCGAUCUGCCGGCUUCUCCGGAACUCCAUUUGUCAGCAUCUUCUCCACCCCUUGGUGAUGAGCGGCUGAGCCAAGGAGCGGAGUCAGGCGCCGCCGCGCGUACAUGCCGCGUUCGUGCGAGAGUGGGUACGGUCUGACAGGGGAUGCAGACUUGGUUGGGGAACAAGAGCACGCGAAGCUAGGAGCAGGGGCCGAUCGAUGGGCAGCGCGAGGACCUCCUACUGGUUCUACAUGUUCCUCUCUCUGCCUAUCCAUUACAAGCAUAGAGGUGAACUCAUGAUUGUAUUGAUAGGUGAUUUAAAGUGCGUGGUUGUGAGGAAAUCAGUAUAAAAUCGUUGUUGUCGGAGUUCCCUUGGAACUGCGCAGAAGAUGGGGUGAUGGAUUCAGUGUCAAGAUUCAAUGAAGAUCCAUAUGUUCGUGGCCUGCUUGUUCACCCACUACUACCACAAGCAAUGUAUUUUACUUUUCUGGAUGCAGCCCUAGAAAGGAAUUAUGUUUGGUUUAGUUCAUAGAAAGAUAUAUCAUAAAAUCCUUUUUGUUUACAUACUAACUGAAUAAUACGAAGUAUUUUAGUUCUCAUGGUAAUAGACAAGCAACUUCAGUAGUAUUUAAUUUGAGUUUUUGUUUUUAAGUAUAUGUUUGCUCAAGAUUCAACUUUCUUUAUGUCCAUGUUUUGCUGGUAUAAUGCAUCAUCAAGCUUUGUUUUAUAUGAUGACAUUGUGUAAAUCAGCAUAUGGAUGAGGAAAGUAUUCUGAGCGCAGAUGCUCGCCGCCGCCACUGCUUCCGACAAUGUGUGAGCCGCCUAAUCGAGCGAGGAUUCGCCGCUCAUCCUAAGAGGACUCGCCGCUCUUCCAUGAUGCCGCCGCUGCAACGCGGCGUUGUUCCAGCACCAAAUCGCAGGUUUUUGCCGGUGCCUAUUUACUUGCCCUUCGUCUGCAUAGUUGAGCGCAAGCUUCUGGCCUUAAUAUAGACUUUUGAAAACAUUAUAUUUCAUGCCUGCACAUUACUAGAAACAUAAUUACACUGCGUAGAUUUAGCGGUUUUAAAUAAUACUAUGUCUCAGUAAAAAAAUAUUUUUCAACUUCAAAUUAUAUGCUGGCUUCAGAUUGUUUUCUUAAAAACCAAGAGCUCUUUUGGGGUUUGCAGUAGUGUGGUUUACAAGAGGUAGCCACGGUUCUUCAAAAUUUUGAAGUGUUAGCAAAAGGAGUGGAACAGAUCAAACUGAAGCUAUUUUAUUUAAUAUUAUCUACUUCUACUUGAACUUUGGUGGGAAUCUGAUGUAACCAUCCCGCAAUCUGAAAAUAUUGUAUGAUGUGCAGAGAAAAUCUCUGUUUACAUGUAACUGCACUGAACUCUGCUUAUAUUUCUCUAUGCGCCGCAAAGUUCAAGCAGUUGUAAGUAGUAUACAAACAUACUUUGCUCACAGUAUAAUCAUCUGAUGCAAUGUGAUAGUUCCAGCAAAAUUUCUUCACCUAUAAAUCAAAUUAUGUUACUUCUCUUUGUGUAAAUCUUGGAUUUCUAGAUCAUAUGAAAACGACUUUUUAUUUCAGCAAGUGUAAUUUGAAUUUGUAAUCUUUUUAAAUAUAGAUGCAUCUUUGCAAAUCCAACAAAAUGGUGGGAAUAUCUACAACAUGAAGUUUCUCAAGCUGAUAGGGCAUUCUUCUGCAUGUUUGUGACAUGAUCAUGGUGCGCAUAUAUUUAAUAGUGAAGGUCUUCGGCUAUCACUAUGAAUGGUUCUGCUGUUGUGUAAGUGAUUUCUUAAGUGUUGUGUUGUAACACAUUAGAGUAAAAGAUUAA
rnacentral:lncRNA from 1 species